rnacentral:rRNA from 1 species
CCAGAGAUGGAUUGGUGCCUUCGGGAACUGUGAGACAGGUGCUGCAUGGCUGUCGUCAGCUCGUGUUGUGAAAUGUUGGGUUAAGUCCCGCAACGAGCGCAACCCUUAUCCUUUGUUGCCAGCGGUCCGGCCGGGAACUCAAAGGAGACUGCCAGUGAUAAACUGGAGGAAGGUGGGGAUGACGUCAAGUCAUCAUGGCCCUUACGACCAGGGCUACACACGUGCUACAAUGGCGCAUACAAAGAGAAGCGACCUCGCGAGAGCAAGCGGACCUCAUAAAGUGCGUCGUAGUCCGGAUUGGAGUCUGCAACUCGACUCCAUGAAGUCGGAAUCGCUAGUAAUCGUGGAUCAGAAUGCCACGGUGAAUACGUUCCCGGGCCUUGUACACACCGCCCGUCACACCAUGGGAGUGGGUUGCAAAAGAAGUAGGUAGCUUAACCUUCGGGAGGGCGCUUACCACUUUGUGAUUCAUGACUGGGGUGAAGUCGUAACAAGGUAACCGUAGGGGAACCUGCGGUUGGAUCACCUCCUUACCUUAAAGAA